UACGGGGGGGGCAAGCGUUGUUCGGAAUUACUGGGCGUAAAGGGCUCGUAGGCGGCCAACUAAGUUGGACGUGAAAUCCCCAGGCUCAACCUGGGAACUGCGUCCGAUACUGGAUGGCUUGAAUCCGGGAGAGGGAUGCAGAAUUCCAGGUGUAGCGGUGAAAUGCGUAGAUAUCUGGAGGAAUACCGGUGGCGAAGGCGGCAUCCUGGACCGGCAUUGACGCUGAGGAGCGAAAGCCAGGGGAGCAAACGGG
rnacentral:rRNA from 1 species